GUGCUCACUUUGGCAGCGCAUAUAUGAAAAUUGAAAGAAUACAGAGAAUAGUAGCAUGGCCCCUGCACAAGGAUGACAGUUUAAUUCAUGAAGUGUCCAUAUUAAAA